GGGGAGCAAGCGUUGUUCGGAUUUACUGGGCGUAAAGGGUUCGUAGGUGGCCACUUAAGUCAGACGUGAAAUCCCUCAGCUUAACUGGGGAACUGCGUCUGAUACUGAGUGGCUUGAGUGCAGGAGAGGAAUGCGGAACUCCAGGUGUAGCGGUGAAAUGCGUAGAUAUCUGGAGGAACACCGGUGGCGAAGGCGGCAUCCUGGACCGGCAUUGACGCUGAGGCGCGAAAGCCAGGGGAGCAAACGGG
rnacentral:rRNA from 1 species